CGAACGGGUGAGUAACACGUGGGUGAUCUGCCCUGUACUUCGGGAUAAGCCUGGGAAACUGGGUCUAAUACCGGAUAUGACCUUACAUCGCAUGGUGUUUGGUGGAAAGAUUUAUCGGUACAGGAUGGGCCCGCGGCCUAUCAGCUUGUUGGUGGGGUAAUGGCCUACCAAGGCGACGACGGGUAGCCGGCCUGAGAGGGCGACCGGCCACACUGGGACUGAGACACGGCCCAGACUCCUACGGGAGGCAGCAGUGGGGAAUAUUGCACAAUGGGCGAAAGCCUGAUGCAGCGACGCCGCGUGAGGGAUGACGGCCUUCGGGUUGUAAACCUCUUUCGACAGGGACGAAGCGCAAGUGACGGUACCUGUAGAAGAAGCACCGGCCAACUACGUGCCAGCAGCCGCGGUAAUACGUAGGGUGCGAGCGUUGUCCGGAAUUACUGGGCGUAAAGAGCUUGUAGGCGGUUUGUCGCGUCGUCCGUGAAAACUUGGGGCUCAACCCCAAGCUUGCGGGCGAUACGGGCAGACUUGAGUACUGCAGGGGAGACUGGAAUUCCUGGUGUAGCGGUGAAAUGCGCAGAUAUCAGGAGGAACACCGGUGGCGAAGGCGGGUCUCUGGGCAGUAACUGACGCUGAGAAGCGAAAGCGUGGGUAGCGAACAGGAUUAGAUACCCUGGUAGUCCACGCCGUAAACGGUGGGCGCUAGGUGUGGGUUUC
rnacentral:rRNA from 1 species